GGGAAUGUGGCUUAGUGGUAGAGCACUUGCCUUGCAUGCUCGAGGCCCUGGGUUCGAUUCCUCAGCACCA
rnacentral:tRNA from 1 species